GACGAACGCUGGCGGCGUGCUUAACACAUGCAAGUCGAACGCUGAAGCUCAGCUUGCUGGGUGGUUGAGUGGCGAACGGGUGAGUAACACGUGAGUAACCUGCCCACUUCUUUGGGAUAACGCCCGGAAACGGGUGCUAGUACUGGAUAUUCACUGAUUCUCGCAUGGGGGUUGGUGGAAAGGUUUUUUCUUGUGUGGGAUGGGCUCGCGGCCUAUCAGCUUGUUGGUGGGGUGAUGACCUACCAAGGGUUUGACGGGUAGCUGGCCUGGGAGGGUGACAGGUCACAUUAGGACUGGGAUACGGCCCAGACUCCUACGGGAGGAAGCAGUGGGGAAUAUUGCACAAUGGGCGAAAGCCUGAUGCAGCGACGCCGCGUGAGGGAUGGAGGCCUGCGGGUUGUAGACCUCUUUGGCUCAUGAUCAAGCCGGAGCUUUGGGUUGUGGUGAGGGUAGUGGGUAAAAAAGCGACGGCUAACUACGUG
rnacentral:rRNA from 1 species